GGCCUUGCGCAGUGGCAGUAUCGUAGCCAAUGAGGUUUGUCCGAGGCGCGAUUAUUGCUAAUUGAAAACUUUUGAUGGCUGAGUAAUAUUCCAUUAUAGUGCACACACGCGCGCACACACACACACAUCACAUAUUUAUCCAUUCAUCAGUUGAUG
rnacentral:snRNA from 1 species